GGGCGUGUGGUCUAGUGGUACGACGUCUCAUUUGCAAAAAAGUUCACCACGCUUGAAGCUGUCCAAGGCAGUUGAAGGGGUUUGAAUGAUACAUUGCUCCAUGUGAAGGUCCCGGGUUCGAACCCCGGCACGUCCA